rnacentral:rRNA from 1 species
CAGCAGCCACGGUAAUACGAAGGGGGCUAGCGUUGCUCGGAAUUACUGGGCGUAAAGGGAGCGUAGGCGGAUCGUUUAGUCAGGGGUGAAAUCCCGGGGCUCAACCUCGGAACUGCCUUUGAUACUGGCGAUCUUAAGUAUGGGAGAGGUGUGUGGAACUCCGAGUGUAGAGGUGAGAUUCGUAGAUAUUCGGAAGAACACCAGUGGCGAAGGCGACACACUGGCCCAUUACUGACGCUGAGGCUCGAAGGCGUGGGGAGCAAACAGGAUUAGAUACCCCGGUAGUCCCUGUCUCUUAUAU